GGGGGGGGGGGGGGGGGGGGGGGGGGGGGGGGGGGGGGGGGGGAGGGCGCGGCGGGGGGGGGGGGGGCGAGGGGCGAACGGGUGAGUAACACGUGAGUAACCUGCCCUGGACUUUGGGAGAACUUCAGGAAAGUGGGGCCAAUACCGGAUAGGAGCUCCUGCUGCAUGGGGGGGGUUGGAAAGUUUCGGCGGUUGGGGAUGGACUCGCGGCUUAUCAGCUUGUUGGUGGGGUAGUGGCUUACCAAGGCUUUGACGGGUAGCCGGCCUGAGAGGGUGACCGGCCACAUUGGGACUGAGAUACGGCCCAGACUCCUACGGGAGGCAGCAGUGGGGAAUAUUGCACAAUGGGCGGAAGCCUGAUGCAGCAACGCCGCGUGCGGGAUGACGGCCUUCGGGUUGUAAACCGCUUUCGCCUGUGACGAAGCGUGAGUGACGGUAAUGGGUAAAGAAGCACCGGCUAACUACGUG
rnacentral:rRNA from 1 species